GAGGCGCAAUUACAGAUGCACCAUCUGCAGUGUCUCCCUAAACUCAAUAGAACAGUAUCACGCCCACCUGAAAGGAUCCAAACACCAGACCAACCUGAAGAGUAAGUAGUGAAAACACCAAUCAAGAGAGAAGAAAAACGUCAGCAUUUCUCUGCUGUUCUCUGCCCUGGAGGAUUGCUUAUCAGCCACCAGUGGAGGAUUCUUCCUUGAACAAUGAACAUUUCCUACAAGGAUUCACAGAUUAACACAUGACCAAUCUUGAUUCUGGAAAGUGAAAGGUUCCUUUCUUUCUUUUUCCUUUUUUAAUUUUGUGGUAAGUUAUGAUAUUUGGAUGGAUUUUUAAUUCUUUCCUGAUAACAUAUUUAGCACAUGUUCUAAAUUAUAAUCCUAUAGCAAACAGUUGGAGCAUUAUUCAAACUUAGAGACAGCGGAAAAAUUUAAAUUUCCAGUUCAUCCUAGGUUUCCUCAGAGUAUAAUUAUUCUAUUAAGCCCUCGAUGGCUGUGAUGAAAAGCACCUGCAUUCAGAAGUGCACCUUCUUUUAUCAUCACGCAGAACUCCACAGAACCAGGACACGUCGCAUUCAGGAGAGGUACGCAGUGGACAAGUUCCAGUUCUUGUCAUUUCACCUGCAAGCGCGUGAGCCGGGUUUGCCGUCUGAACACUGAAGGUGAGGAGGGGACUGCAGCAGAGCCCCGUCUGUUUCUCGUGACCACGUAGCAAACCGCUCCUCAAGGUUAAGCCAAGUCCUCUUUGCAAGCUGCCAAGUAACUUUGCAAGCUGCCAAGUAACUGCUUAGGAAAAGAAUUAGUUUGCCUGCACGAUGAUCCUCUUAGGCAAAAAUGUCUUAACAGCCGUUGACCUUGGUGAAACAUAUUUUCCCAAGGGCAUCCAAAAGAAGAAUUAUAAAUCCCAGAAUGCGAUGGAAGUAAGUGUAUAUUUCUUGUGAAGUUGGCCUGAACUGUGGACUUUCAUUUGGGAGACUCACGAUUUGGAAAGAAGUGAGUCGGUUGUGAAGAAGCGGCGGCCUUGGGUGGGGCGAGGUCCCCCUUUUUCUGUCGCUCACUGAUCUCCUGAUGCUGAGCCAAGAGCCAAUCCCUUGGGAAAGUGCACCGCUGACAGUGUGCCAGACGGAAAACUGGGACCCUCUGUUCCCGAGGAACGUCUCUGACGGCAGCUCAGAGAGCCCUUCUCUGGGUUCCAUUCUUCUCCAUGGUGACUGGACUUGGUAUCUUGCAGGUGGCUGCACGGCCAGAUGUUGAGUUUCUGUUCAUGAUGCUGUCAGGGCUCCUGCUGGGAUCUGGCUGAGGCUGUCAUUUGUACCUUGUGACCACAACCACAGGUGAUUGAUCUCCUGGUAUUAGGAUUUUCUGGACAUCAGUUGUUUUCCACAGAGAGCUGAUGUGGUUGUGGCUCAGUGAGCAAUAAACAAAAUGACACAGAAGUGCACAGUGAUGUUGUUAACGUGCCUGAUGUCCUGUGUUUGGGAUCUGGCACAGUCGUUUGAGGAGGGCUACUCAGGAAGGACCUGGCUGAGCUCCCCGUGCUGCCCAGAGGAGCAGCCACACCAGCCUUACUCCCCUGGAGAGGAAGGAAGGUUGGUUGGAAAGGAGUCUACUUUGCUGGUUUGGAAAGCACACUAACCUCUAUUGAUGGUUUUUCUUCAAAUGUGUAAAAUAAGGCUUAUUUGUCAAUUCUGCUGUAAAAUAAGCAAUGUCCAAGUUAAAAAAAAAAAAAAAAAAAAAACUUUGUGUUUAGUGAGCUCAUGCCCUAAAGUGUUGUGUCUUUGUUUGUUUUAACAAGUUAAAAGCCUAUGAACGUAACCUUUUGCUUUACAGAGAGAAUAUGCCAAACCCUUUAUAGAAAAGCUUCCAGCUAUAAUAAUCAGAUUAUCUCAGAAUUCCUCAUCUAAAUACUGUUGUUCCUUGGCAACCUGUCAAGUGAAAGUGAAUACCUUGCCAGAGGAUUUGUUUGUUUGUUUUCAAAUUUCUUUGUUUAUUUUUGCCCACACAAAUGAGGGCAUCAUUGUUCCAGUGUGCAAUGGAGACGAGGUGCUGGACUUUGUGCAGGACGGGCGGCAAGCACUGUUUGUGUCUGGGAAUUCUUGAGUGGAAGCACCCUAUCCGGGAAGCCAGCUUUUGGUCGUUAUUCUUCUUGGUUUGGUUUGGUAUGGCUAUGUUUGUUUAAUUAUGUCAUAUCUUACCUUCCAGUUUCAUUAUGAGCAGGUGGGAGUGGGAUAUAAGGUAAAUGUUUUCAAAUGAGAAAAUCAGCUCUGGCGGAGAGGAAAGAGACCAUGCAGACCUGGCUGUGUCCCUGGUGGGUGGCCCCUCAGCCCUGGAACUGCUCUGGCAGAGCCACCGGACUGCAGCAGAGAUUGGGGGGAGGGGGGGAUGAGAAUCUGUAAAAUCUCAAUUCAGGGGAACUCAGGGAGAACCCUACCUAUGUGAAAGAGUGAAACUAUCCAAAUUGUCAGUAUUCAAAGUACUUUUACUCUUCCAGAGUACUUGUAGUUACGUUAUCUAUACUGCCUAUUUGAAGUUUUGUUGAAAUGAGGAAAAGAAUCAUUAAAAAUUAACAUAACACAGAAGCCUAAUGGACUCCUUCUGUCAGAGCGAAAUUAUUGGUAUUUAAAAGGAUAGCUGCUAAGUGGUUGAAGUAGUCUUUCUUUUUAAAGGGAUACAGCACUCCUACAGUCCUGGUCAUGCAGUCCAUUUACUUUGCAAAAAGUUUCUCUUCUUUGGUGCAGAGAUCAGCUUCAGGCUGGCACCUGUGCGAGAGCUGCAGGUAUCAGGUGGUGAAACUCCAGUUACUGCACUUUCAUUAUGUCCAGUCUCCGCAGCCCAGGGAGACCGGUGGACUCAUAAAUAUGGCCAUAAAGCAAUCUGCUAAGUAGAGAGCACUGCAGUGGUUCCUUCUGCUGAUAAAAGUAGAAAUAAAACUCUCAUCUGCAAUUGCUGGACUACAAAGACCAAUAGGGUUGGUUUUCCAUUUGCCUCUUAGACAACAUAUAAACAUAGAUUGGAACCACAAGAGUCUUUGCACCUUUCUGUUGGAGUAGCUUCGUCAGGACAACUGGUCCAAAAUAUGAGAAGUGUGAGAGGUGUUAUCACUCCCACAGGGAAAGGGGAGACUUCGGAGGGAGUGGGCUGAUACAUCUUCCAAAGCUGAUCUUUUGAGUGACGUACUUCUGACAGGUCAGCGUGAAUGCAGAACGUUACAACCCAAUAAGAAAAUGACCCUUCUAAACUGCCAGGUAACAAAACAACUCUAUUCUCCACAUGCUGUCCAAGCUAAAUAUUCACUGUUCAUUUGACCAAAUUGGACAAGGAAUUGAUUGUUUUUCUUUUGUGACCAGAAUAAAAAGAUGCCAAUCAACAUAUUAUAAUAGGGACAGAUUUUGUUUUUCUGGCUCUCACCUAAUUUAUUCCUACUAACGGCAUGCUAAACUACCUCACAGGUUUGUGGUAUGGAUUAGCUAAUUAAUAAAUAAAGUGCUUAAAAAUAUAAA